CUACCCUAGAAUCUGGAAUAACCUGCCGAAAGGCGGGCUAAUACUGGAUAGAGCGAUGAAAUCCGUAAUUGGGUUUUUCGGAAAAGGGAGCUCGCAAGAGCCUUCGUUUUAGGAUGAGUCUAUAUCUCAUUAGCUAGUUGGUAAGGUAAUGGCUUACCAAGGCUUUGAUGGGUAGCUGGUCUGAGAGGAUGAUCAGCCACACUGGAACUGAAACACGGUCCAG
rnacentral:rRNA from 1 species